CCCCUGCGCGGCAGUCCGGCCAAGCGCCGCGGAGGGCGCGGGGAUGCGCCGGGCGGCGGCGACCCUCCGCCGCAGGGCGAGGCCCGGGGGGCGCAAGGAGAACGCCAUGCCCACCCCCGGGAACGGCACAGGCAUGUGUGUGCAACUGCAGCAGCCCCUGCAGGGCACCUUCCAAGUACUUCGUGGGGACGGCACUUCUGUGGGGACUGUCAUCGUGUUCCACUGCCCCUCAGGCCACCAGAUGGUGGGGUCUGGCCUCCUCACCUGUGCCUGGAAGGGGAACAUCGCUGAGUGGUCUUCAGGGACCCCCAUGUGCAAGACUGUGCCCCUCUACGAAACCUUUGGCUUCAAGGUGGCUGUGAUCUCCUCAAUCGUCAGCUGCGCCAUCAUCAUGCUCAUGUCCAUGGCCUUCCUCACCUGCUGCUUCGUGAAGUGUGUGAAGAGGAGUGAGCAGCGGCGAUCCGACAGAGACCUUGGCGAGGGUACCAGAGAGCUGGCCAGCAUGGCCCGAGGCGUGGACAAGGACUUCUGGACCGCCAGUGGCCCCACCAGCUCACCCCGCGCCCAGGUGAUGGUGCAUACAGCAAGCCCAGGGCAGAUCCCGCCUCCCUCCAGGCCAACUGUGAUGCUCAGACAGCCUGCAGCCUAUGUCCCAGGGUGA
rnacentral:lncRNA from 1 species